rnacentral:rRNA from 1 species
UACGAAGGGGGCUAGCGUUGCUCGGAAUCACUGGGCGUAAAGCGCACGUAGGCGGACUCUUAAGUCAGGGGUGAAAUCCUGGAGCUCAACUCCAGAACUGCCUUUGAUACUGAGAGCCUUGAGUCCGGAAGAGGUAAGUGGAACUGCGAGUGUAGAGGUGAAAUUCGUAGAUAUUCGCAAGAACACCAGUGGCGAAGGCGGCUUACUGGUCCGGUACUGACGCUGAGGUGCGAAAGCGUGGGGAGCAACAGG